GUCUGUAUCUAUAUGUGUCUCUGUAUGAGAUUCGGUGCUUGGUGACCCUGUGGCCUGUUGCUUGUGGGAUGCUCUUUCUCUCAUCCUGGCGUCAGGGUUCAGCUUGCCUGCUCACACGGUCACUUUCCCCUUAGGAUUUGGUUCUUCACAGAGCCCAGCAGAGCUAUUGUCUACAUCUAAGGGGAUAAAGCCCAGAGGAGGCUUGGAGCUCAAACUCAGAGCUGCAGGUAGAGAGUCAAAUCCAGCCCUUAAACAGACCCUAGCACCGGACCUCACCUACCGUGUGGCCAGCCCAUACCACACUGACUAAUGCUACCCUGAAUGCCCCAGAGUGGCUGAGAACCGUUCGUUAUUCAUGCGGUUUUAGCCUUCUCAACCAUUCUAGAGCAUUACCAAACACAUUAAAAAUAUAUAAUAAUAAUCUUUGCGUCUGCAACCUUGAAGAUUCGGGUCUGGGUUUGUGCUUUGCUUUCCCAACCUCACUUUUCCCAAUGCCGGCCGAGGAGUUCAUAGGCCAGAUUAAUUUUGCAGUAAGAAAACAGGGUGAGGCGAGUAACUGACCAUAUCCGUGGGCUGGUAGUCUACCUCCUGGAACACGGAGCUUCAGAGGAAAGAUGAAAAGAUCUCCUUUCCCCACACUCAGGAGUUCUAACCUGGAAGCACCAGCCAGCCGGCCCAUCUGUCUGCUUUGUAGAAAGUGUCCAAUCCCUUUCCAAUAUCUUUACCAUUUAUUUUGGGGGCACUGGGCCUUGAACCCAGGCUCUUAUACAAGCUGGCAAUCACCACUGAGCCUUAUCACACCCCCCACCAUCAUUUAAAAGCCUUUAUAGAUUUAUUUUUAAAACAAGGUAUCCUUAAGUUGCUCAGGCUUUCAACUUGCAGUCCCCCUGCCUCAGUAACUCAAAUACUUAGAAUUUAAGAACCACCAGCUACAGACCAGCAUGAAGCUACUAUGUGUUUUCACUGGAAUCAUCAGUCGGGGUUGCAGGGACAGAGCUACUUCCCGCUGGGUC
rnacentral:lncRNA from 1 species